GAUGAACGCUAGCUCCAGGCUUAACACAUGCAAGUCGAGGGACCGGCGCACGGGUGAGUAACACGUAUCCACCCUGCCCUUUACUCGGGGAUAGCCUUUCGACAGAAAGAUUAAUACCCGAUAUAAAGGAUGGGGCUGCGUUCAAUUAGGUUGUUGGUGAGGUAACGGCGCACCAAGCCGUCGCUGGCUAGGGGUUCUGAGAGGAAGGUCCCCCACAUUGGAACUGAGACACGGGACAAACUCCUACGGGAGGCAGCAGUGAGGAAUAUUGGUAAAUGGGCACUAGCCUGAACCAGCCAAGUAGCGUGAAGGAUGAAGGCUUAUGGGUCGUAAACUUCUUUUAUAUAAGAAUAUGUAUUAUAUGAAUAAGGAUCGGCUAACUCCGUGCCAGCAGCCGCGGUAAUUC
rnacentral:rRNA from 1 species